rnacentral:rRNA from 1 species
AACGAACGCUGGCGGCAUGCCUAACACAUGCAAGUCGAACGAGACCUUCGGGUCUAGUGGCGCACGGGUGCGUAACGCGUGGGAACCUGCCCUUAGGUUCGGAAUAACUCCCCGAAAGGGGUGCUAAUACCGGUUAAUGUCUUCGGACCAAAGAUUUAUCGCCUUUGGAUGGGCCCGCGUUGGAUUAGCUAGUUGGUAGGGUAAAAGCCUACCAAGGCGACGAUCCAUAGCUGGUCUGAGAGGAUGAUCAGCCACACUGGGACUGAGACACGGCCCAGACUCCUACGGGAGGCAGCAGUGGGGAAUAAUGGACAAUGGGCGAAAGCCUGAUCAAGCAAUGCCGGGUGAGUGAUGAAGGCCUUAGGGUUGUAAAGCUCUUUUACCCGGGAUGAUAAUGACAGUACCGGGAGAAUAAGCGCCGGCUAACUCCGUG